rnacentral:tRNA from 1 species
GCGGGUGUAGUUCAAUGGCGGAAUGAAAGCUUCCCGCGGGUUCUAUUCCCGCCACCCGCUCCA